rnacentral:lncRNA from 1 species
AAUGGAGUACAGAGCUCAAGCCUUAUCACCCUUUUGCAUUUUACUUGUGGCUUUGAUUAAUUUUUAGACCAGUUUGUUUAGGAUUUUGACAGUGAGAUAGGCAAAGAAGUAAACACUACAUGCAAGGAAUUUCUAACCCCAAGAUACAUUUGUUUGGGGUGAGCUUUCGCGGUUAGUACUUUUGCGUUCAAUACAACCAACAGUCCAAAUAAUGGAUAUAUUUUUUCCAAGGGACCAUUCUGCACAGUAUUGCAUGCCUGUCCUCAGCUGAGAAAUAUGCAGUAAAGGAGCUAUUAUUCCUAUAUCCCUCUAAUGCUUUCUGAUCCCUAUACUUUUAUUAUAGAAACCACAAGGGCUAGGACAUGACUUCAAAAAAUAUACACAUCUACAGAGACAAUGGGUAGGUGUACUAACCUAAAUACAGCUGAAAACUGAGGAAGAGGGGUUAUGGCUGCUUGAAUAAAAAGAAAACCAGUCAUAAUCAAACUAGCAGAGUUUCUUGGUGGAAAAUUAAGUUUUCAUAGCCACUGGAGAGAUGAUAUCACCAGAAGUCAUUGGCAUUUCUAUUCCAUAAAAGAUCUGUUUUCGUAGCCACAUGUGUGCCCCUCUUACAUGUUUCUGAUAUGUAACAUAAACAUGCUGUCAGCCAAUAUUUCCCUUUGUGCUUUUGAAGUACUAGGAUAAUAUGAUGUCACUGUAUUGGCUAUGCUCUUUGAUUAUUAUCUGCCUUUUGUUUUUUACUAAUUUUUAAAAUAAUUUUUACUGAUAGGGUUCACUAAAGAGUGAUAUGAAUCUAAGAGGUGUUUUCAGAAGCGGCAAGUGUACUGCAGUCAUGGAGUCCAUAUCCUGUCUGUAUCCAGAAAAGUACUUCUGUCCAUCAUUCUUUAGAAGACAGGAGCCAAUGUGACCAGAUUCACAAUGUAAAUUUCACUUAUGGAAAUGGAAAUGUCCAGCUUCCACCAGGGAAAGUCCUGUUGAACUAAUGUUUCUGGAAUGUUGGCUUUGAGCAUUUUUCCUGUGGUUCUGAUUCUUAGAUAGUUAAGGCAUGGCCAUUCCCCAGGCUUCAAGGUAGGGUAACAUUUUAUAUUUUAAGUCAUAAAAUCCUUCUGAAAGGCUUAGUAUGUAGUUCUCAUUCUAGUUUACUCCUGGAGAAGAGCCCACGUGCUGGGGUAACAAAUGAGGAUUGGGAAUGAUCUGUUGAAGCCCAUUUAUCUGGUUCUUGAAAAACCAGGUCCCCAUCUGGGAAAGGGUUUCCCUCUCUUCUGUAACUUCAGUGACCACCUCAUGGACUAGCUUCCAGACCUAAAUUAGUUUCAUAAGAAAAUACUCACUUUACCCAAAUUGUUUUCCAAUGCAAGCUCUUAUGCUGUUGAAAAAAUGGUGAUCCAGUUAAUAAACUUAAACUUUGUAUAGAGAGGAACUUACCU